AGAUUUAAAAGUUUUUAUAUGAACACCUUAAAUUACAUGUAUCAUGUGUUGGGCUGUGCUUUGCACGGGCUAUACCUUAUCUAGUAUCUCUUAUGCAGGUGGGGUACAACGUCGUAACACCACGUCAACGGAAUAUUGGGAAGGUUCGUGGCUAUACUUUCAAUAUUAACUCGGGGGCAGUGGAAGCACUUGAGCUUGAUUGCUUAGGAAUAUCCAUAAUACCAUCCAGCUUGAUAGGUGAGCACCUAUUGUCUAUUUGUUGAAGAUGU